GAUGAACGCUGGCGGCGUGCUUAACACAUGCAAGUCGAACGGGAUCUCGGAAGUGCUUGCACUUUUUGGUGAGAGUGGCGAACGGGUGAGUAACACGUGAGUAACCUGUCCUUUUCUUUGGGAUAAGCUCCUGAAAGGGUGUUUAAUACCUUAUGUUCUGUCUGCCUCGCAUGGGGUGGGUGGGAAAGAUUUUUUCGGUGAAGGGUGGGCUCGCGGUCUAUCAGCUUGUUGGUGGGGUGAUGGCUUACCAAGGCUUUGACGGGUAGCCGGCCUGAGAGGGUGGUCGGUCACAUUGGGACUGAGAUACGGCCCAGACUCCUGCGGGAGGCAGCAGUGGGGGAUAUUGCACAAUGGGCGCAAGCCUGAUGCAGCGACGCCGCGUGGGGGAUGAAGGCCUUCGGGUUGUAAACUUCUUUUGCUCUGAACAAGGCGCACCAUGGGGUGUGUUGAGUGUAGGGGUUGAUUAGCGCCGGCUAACUACGUG
rnacentral:rRNA from 1 species